rnacentral:tRNA from 1 species
GCUGUGGCCUAAUGGUUAGGGCAUCGGCUUGUAACCGAAGGGUUACCGGUUCGAUCCCCGACCAGUA